CUGCCGCGCCCCCCCCAGCCCGCCAGGGGGCGCUGCUCCCUGCCGCCUCGACUCCGAGCGGCCGAGAGGCUGCCGGGAACCGCCAUUUUCUUGCCGUGCGCCGGCGGCGGAGCGGUCCCCGCAGCCGGUGCCGGCGAGGAGAAGGACGCCGUGCGGAAUGUAAACAUUGGGAUUUGUUCUAAAGAUUGGUGGAAAAUAGAGAUGAAACCAGUAUCUGCUUUGAUUAAUCUAUUACCAAACUUGAUCUGGUUGGAUGCUAAUUUCUUAAGGAAAAACUAUUAUGCAAAUUUGUCCUACUCUUACCUAUUGAGAGCACUGCCAUGAAUCCAUUCUUGCUCUCUUCUGUACCCAUAUGACUUCAUGAAGAAAAAUACAAUAGGAAAAUCAUUCUGGGAAUGGUAUGUUUCUAUUGGCCUCUUUAUUUCUAAGAUGGAAAGAGUGUAAAAGUCUUUGUGACUGGAGUCAAGAAUUGGGAGGAUCUAACAGCCUACUAUAACCUUGAGCAGCUGACUGGCUGAUGGGAAGCUAAGUAGGACCUGUUUGAAAAACAGACAGAUGAAGCUGAGCUGAAGGAUUUAUGUAAGCUUUGGCACUGAAUCAAAAGGCAUUGUGUAGAUACAUACUCUCUUUAAAAAUAAAUAUCUCUAAGCAGAAUAUUUUUUUUUUAAU
rnacentral:lncRNA from 1 species